CUGGACUCUCCCAGUGAUUGCCCAAAUGAUAUGCUGGAUAAAGUUUAUAAGGCCAAUUUAUUGAUAUCAGCACUUCCUAGGACUGUCCAAGGCACUACGCAGUGAUAAUGACCAUAGUAUUUCGGUUUUACAGAACAUAUUCCCUCUGACAUGCAGUGAUUGCAUCCAUUUUUCUUAGGGAACAGAAUCAUCGCUUCCAUUUUACAAUUGCUAGUUGAGCCACAGAAGCAAACAUCUUAACAAGAGAACCAAAUAGAUGAUGAGGGAAGUGGUCAUGAGCACAUAUAUGAGACACACCUCUGGGAAUUCCCAGAUAUGACUCAGUGAUGUGCUGAAGGUACAGAGCAGCUUGCCUUUAAGAUGUAAUUCUUCACCUGACUCCACUCUGUCUGCAGCCUGAAAACUUCCAACUGAUCUCGUUCCUUCCCUCAGAUCUUCCAGCCUCAGAUUUCUUCAUUGCUCUCCUCUGAACACUCACUUUCAGAACCGAGGAUCAGGCAUUGCAGAGGGAUGUGGAAAAGGGGAGAUGGUCCCUCUCAUCCAAAGGCAGUUGCAAGAAUCUGAAACAAAGUGACAGACUACUGAAAUCACAGACUCUGACAAGUCGAGAAGUGCAGUGUCAUCCAAGCCAAACCUCUUCUACAAUCUCUGAAAGAUGCUCAUCUUCUGGCUGAAUAGUCCACUGAAAAGAUACUCACCAUCCCACUGACACAGUUCCAGCCAGCGUUUAUGGAGCACCUGCUGCGUGCCAAGCUCUGUUCCCCUGGCCCCUGGCCCCGUGGAGUCUAUGGUCUGAGGCAGGGGGGAAGGUGAGUGAGCAAGUAGCUAUAGUUACAUGUGGGCUGUUUUAGUUGCCCCCUGUUGUUGAAGGAGGUUAUUCCCAACCUGGGGUGGGAGGGAUAACUGAACACAUGCCACACA
rnacentral:lncRNA from 1 species